CGAUGUGUAUUGGUUGAAUAACAAAACGACCCUUAUUUAUUGUUACCCUGGCAACCCGCCGUGUUUGAUUGACGUUUGAUUUAAUAAUUUUGAUACGACUCAUAAUUCUAAUCUAAUAGAAACUCCAAAACCUCAGACAAAGAGGACUAGAAUUUUACAUAAAAAGCCGCGUUCUGCAGUACAAAAGUUAGAAGAGGUUAGUAUCAAUGUGAUAGAGAAAGGACUAUUUCAUUCAAAAUCCCUCAACGAUCAUACUUAAAUAAUUUUUUAGGCUCAAACAGAAGCGACUCGCCGAAGCUCACGAAAGAGCUAGACAGAAGCAUCUUCUAAGGCUCAAAUUGUUACAGCAGCAAUUAAAUAAAUAAUUAUAUACUUAUAAAAAAAAUAAAACCCCCGUUUUAAAUGAAAUAUAACUUUUUAUUUAUUUCAAGUCCUUAACUAUCCACACCUAUGUAAAUAAAACAGCCUUAAAAAUAUGUUUCAAUAAAAGCAGCUCUAGCAGCUUGUCUAGCCAGAUUGCUUGGGGGCGUCUAGGUUGGCCUUGGUUCUUCUGGAGCAUUCUCAGUGUCAUCAAACGUAACAUCCAGGUCUUCUUUGAUAUCAAUAGCAAUAUUGUGGAGGAUUGCCAGUGCUACUAUAUAUAAUUUGGCAUUUUCUAAUGACACUGAGAAGCCAUGAAGAAGACACCUGAAUCGAAAACCCUCCACCUCUAGUACUCUUUUCGACAUCAGCUCGCACUCUGUCACAGAUCUUCAUAACAUACUUCUUUGAAAAGCGGUAUUUUGUUUUGAAAUCGCCAUGCGAAAGUAAUAACGGAUUGCACCGAGUUUGGUAUGUUCUUUGACUUUCCUUGGAGGCGGCAAAUCUUCAAUCGUAUGUAUUAGCUGCAUAUCAAUAUUAUCUAAAUCUUCUAUUUGAUCUAUAAAAUCUAUUUUCAACAAACACAAAUAUCUACUAACUUAAAUCUUUCCUUGAA